rnacentral:rRNA from 1 species
CGGCGUGCCUAAUACAUGCAAGUCGAGCGAAUCUUAUGGGAGCUUGCUCCCGGAUGAUUAGCGGCGGACGGGUGAGUAACACGUGGGCAACCUGCCCGUAAGAUUGGGAUAACUCCGGGAAACCGGUGCUAAUACCGAAUAGUUUCUGACACCUCAUGGUGUCGGAGGGAAAGUUGGCUUCGGCUAACACUUACGGAUGGGCCCGCGGCGCAUUAGCUAGUUGGUGAGGUAACGGCUCACCAAGGCGACGAUGCGUAGCCGACCUGAGAGGGUGAUCGGCCACACUGGGACUGAGACACGGCCCAGACUCCUACGGGAGGCAGCAGUAGGGAAUCUUCCGCAAUGGACGAAAGUCUGACGGAGCAACGCCGCGUGAGCGAAGAAGGCCUUCGGGUCGUAAAGCUCUGUUGUCAGGGAAGAACCAGUGGCCUUCCAAUAGGCUGGCCCCCUUGACGGUACCUGACCAGAAAAGCCCCCGCUAAACUACGGGCCCGCCAGCCGCGGUAAUACGUAGGUUGCAAACGUUGUUCCGGGAUUUACUGGGGUGUAAAAGGGCGUGUAGGGCGGAGAUUCAAAGUUGGGAGUGAAAUUCCGGGGCCCCAACCCCGGAAACUGCUUUCAAAACUGUAUCCCUUGAGGGUCGGAGAGGCAAGCGGAAUUCCUAGUGUAGCGGUGAAAUGCGUAGAUAUUAGGAGGAACACCAGUGGCGAAGGCGGCUUGCUGGACGAUAACUGACGCUGAGGCGCGAAAGCGUGGGGAGCAAACAGGAUUAGAUACCCUGGUAGUCCACGCUGUAAACGAUGAAUACUAGGUGUGGGAGGACUGACCCCUUCCGUGCCGCAGUUAACACAAUAAGUAUUCCACCUGGGGAGUACGACCGCAAGGUUGAAACUCAAAGGAAUUGACGGGGGCCCGCACAAGCAGUGGAUUAUGUGGUUUGAUUCGACGCAACGCGAAGAACCUUACCAGGACUUGACAUCCAACUAACGAAGUAGAGAUACAUUAGGUGCCCUUCGGGGAAAGUUGAGACAGGUGGUGCAUGGUUGUCGUCAGCUCGUGUCGUGAGAUGUUGGGUUAAGUCCCGCAACGAGCGCAACCCCUAUUGUUAGUUGCUACGCAAGAGCACUCUAGCGAGACUGCCGUUGACAAAACGGAGGAAGGCGGGGACGACGUCAAAUCAGCACGGCCCUUACGUCCGGGGCGACACACGUGUUACAAUGGCAGGUACAGAGGGCGGCCAGGCAGCGAUGCCGCGCAAAUCUCGAAAGCCUGUCUCAGUUCGGAUUGGAGUCUGCAACUCGACUCCAUGAAGUUGGAUUCGCUAGUAAUCGCACGUCAGCCAUGGCGCGGUGAAUACGUUCCCGGGC